rnacentral:rRNA from 1 species
CUACGGGGCGCUGCAGUGAGGAAUAUUGCACAAUGGGGGGAACCCUGAUGCAGCAACGCCGCGUGGAGGAUGACGCAUUUCGGUGUGUAAACUCCUUUUAUAUGUCAAGAGAAUGACGGUAGCAUAUGAAUAAGCACCGGCUAACUCCGUGCCAGCAGCCGCGGUAAUACGGAGGGUGCAAGCGUUACUCGGAAUCACUGGGCGUAAAGGACGCGUAGGCGGGUUGGAAAGUCAGGUGUGAAAUCCUACAGCUUAACUGUAGAACUGCACUUGAAACUUCUAAUCUAGAGUAUGGGAGGGGGAGAUGGAAUUAGUGGUGUAGGGGUAAUAUCCGUAGAUAUCACUAGGAAUACCUAAAGCGAAGGCGAUCUCCUGGAACAUUACUGACGCUAAGGCGUGAAAGCGUGGGGAGCAAACAGGAUUAGAUACCCGCGUAGUC